AGAGCGAACGCUGGCGGCAGGCCUAACACAUGCAAGUCGAACGGACCCUUCGGGGUUAGUGGCGGACGGGUGAGUAACACGUGGGAACGUGCCUUUAGGUUCGGAAUAGCUCCUGGAAACGGGUGGUAAUGCCGAAUGUGCCCUUCGGGGGAAAGAUUUAUCGCCUUUAGAGCGGCCCGCGUCUGAUUAGCUUGUUGGUGAGGUAAUGGCUCACCAAGGCUACGAUCAGUAGCUGGUCUGAGAGGAUGACCAGCCACAUUGGGGACUGAGACACGGCCCAAACUCCUACGGGAGGCAGCAGUGGGGAAUCUUGCGCAAGUGGGGACGAAAGCCUGACGCAGCCAUGCCG
rnacentral:rRNA from 1 species